UUACGAACUAUGAAGAGGACUAGUAAAUAAGUAUUCUUUUUUCAGAGAGGAGAUAGUAUGGUGAAAUAUCUCUAAAUUGAACUUUUUGAACCUACCUCAGAGUUCUAUGGAUUACAAACCCAUAGCGUUGACUACGUUAUAGUCUCUAAGAGAAUGUAGAAUUUCUGCAUUAAUUAGGGUGGCACCGCCGAUACAGUCUCGGUCCCUUUU
rnacentral:ncRNA from 1 species